CCUUGGGCUGGCUCCCGUGCCAAAUCCCAAYGUGCCGGUGAUAUUUCUUCACUGUCAUGUAGCAGCUCAGUGCAAGCUCAAGAUCUGGUUGUGAACAAGAAAAAAAUCAUCGAGAGAACGGAAAAUUCACACCUAAACACCAUAAAACUGCAAGAUUGGCUCUCAUGAAGUUUUACUGAAGUGAAUUCCUCUUAAUCCAUCUAAUAUAAAAUUUCAUAGGCGUGAUUUUUACAGUUGCAAUACUACUGGAAUAAGAGAAACGGCGUUUCUUACACAAAAGCUGCUUUCUUGUGCAGCAAAGGUGCCUGUCGCCUGCUAUCUCAGCAGCACAGGGGUCCGCGUCCCCGGGCUGGCCAGGGCUCCGGCCAAGCCGCCCGGGAGGUGCCGGCACCGGUACCGGUACCGGUCCUCGCCUCCCCGCAGCCGGCCCGGCCAGGUGCUUCGCACGAGGCCUCGUGGCACCGCUCCUCCCUGCAGGGCGCAAAACUUCGUUUUUCCACUGUGUCUUCACUWCUUUCCCUCUUCUUGAGUUCACAGAAGGGGAAGGGAAGCCUGGGAAAGGAAGUGAACCCGAGAGAAAAACUCUCUCAUUGCUUUCCUUUUUACCAGAGGUGAAGAGUGAAGAAAAAAAAUCAAUUUUGUUCUUUGCCUGCUUUUAAAAAUGAGAGAAAUAAGUCACUCUUGCAUCUAUUUUCCCAUAUUUAAGGCUCCUAUUGUCUGUYUGACCAGUGCGGGAAGGGGACGGGAGAACUAUAGAAGUGAGACUGGAAAUGCAAAACGUGACUGACUGCAGCAUUUCAGCAAGGCUGAAGUGCGAAGCAUCGCCUGCUCCUGCAGCACUCGCUUCACUAGGUUUCUUGGCACAUUGGCACAAGUCGUUCAAUCUUUUCAUGUCCGCAAGGAAUCUGCAAACCAAACAACCAGAAAAGCACGCAGCAAAAAAGAUCAUCCCCUGGCAUGCAAACUAUGCACACGGGGRAAAACGUGGAGGAAGAAGAAAAAAAGCUGGAAUUUGCAGUGACUGAGAGUCACGCUGCCCAGAGCACGUCUCGCAGGAGGAGGGUCUAAUGCAGCACGGAGGAGAUAUCAGGCUUCUUGGAUAGCGCUCGGCUCCCACUAGGUUUCCAGCCUGACCUCUGAGCCAGCAGAAUCAGGCGAGACCUGGCAAUCUCGGGGAUGCUUGUGCAAACCAGGCUCGCCUUCGUGCRUGCUUCAUACGCGGAUGCAUCACGAGCAGGGGUAGAACAAGGUCACCCCAUGGACGCUGCAAAAAGCAAACGGCCUYGUUGCUCCGUGCAGGCACGCGGCACCGCGGCGCGGCGGGAGGCUGCUGAGCUAUGGCUGG
rnacentral:lncRNA from 1 species